UACGAGGGGGGCAAGCGUUGUUCGGAAUUAUUGGGCGUAAAGGGCGCGUAGGCGGUUCGGUAAGUCUCAAGUGAAAUCUAUGGGCUCAACCCAUAGUCUGCUUGAGAAACUGCCGGGCUUGAGUGUGGGAGAGGUGAGUGGAAUUCCCGGUGUAGCGGUGAAAUGCGUAGAGAUCGGAAAGAACACCAACGGCGAAAGCACUCUGCUGGGCCGACACUGACACUGAGAGACGAAAGCUAGGGGAGCGAAUGGG
rnacentral:rRNA from 1 species